GAUUAAGUUAUUAAGGGCGCACGGUGGAUGCCUUGGCACUAGAAGCCGAUGAAGGACGUUACUAACGACGAUAUGCUUUGGGGAGCUGUAAGUAAGCUU
rnacentral:rRNA from 2 species